AUUUAUAUAGUUUAAAAAACAUUACAUUUUCAAUGUAAAAUUAGGUCACACCUUAUAAAUA
rnacentral:tRNA from 1 species